UGGGCUUGACAUGGGCAGGAUCGCUGCAGAGAUGUAGUUUCCUUUUUGGCUUGUUCACAGGUGGUGCAUGGUUGUCGUCAGCUCGUGUCGUGAGAUGUUGGGUUAAGUCCCGCAACGAGCGCAACCCUUGUCUUGUGUUGCCAGCACGUGGUGGUGGGGACUCGCGAGAGACUGCCGGGGUUAACUCGGAGGAAGGUGGGGAUGACGUCAAAUCAUCAUGCCCCUUAUGUCCAGGGCUUCACACAUGCUACAAUGGUCGGUACAGUGGGUUGCGAUGCCGUGAGGUGGAGCUAAUCCCUUAAAGCCGGUCUCAGUUCGGAUUGGAGUCUGCAACUCGACUCCAUGAAGUCGGAGUCGCUAGUAAUCGCAGAUCAGCAAUGCUGCGGUGAAUACGUUCCCGGGCC
rnacentral:rRNA from 1 species